rnacentral:rRNA from 1 species
GAUCAUGGCUCAGAUUGAACGCUGGCGGCAUGCUUUACACAUGCAAGUCGGACGGCAGCACAGAGAAGCUUGCUUCUUGGGUGGCGAGUGGCGAACGGGUGAAUAACAUAUCGGAACGUACCGAGUAAUGGGGGAUAACUAAUCGAAAGAUUAGCUAAUACCGCAUAUUCUCUGAGGAGGAAAGCAGGGGACCUUCGGGCCUUGCGUUAUUCGAGCGGCCGAUAUCUGAUUAG